AUCACUGCUCCCUGGUGGGCGAAACAUCUCUCAGAUAUACCGAUGCUGUAUAUGUGUCUUAUACAUCAACUUGUCGAUAUUAUAUACCAGUACCUUUGAUCUAAUUAUAAGUGAAGGUUGGUCACAGAGAGACGCGCGGUAACGAGUGCAUUUUAUUAACGACACGUUUCGCCAUCCGCUGGCUUUGUCAAUCCAAUGAUCGAUGGCAAAACGUUUCCUUAACAAAAUGUUAUAAUCACCAGCAAUGUAUCCUUCUAUACGGUGUUAAACACCAUUAGUAACCUCACACAAUACGCUUGCCUCGCCUCAGUCCCCCUGACAUGAGCAGCCAUAUUUAACGUCGCUGUUUAUGUGGUGUUGUGUGUCAGCGCUGGUGUGAUUCACAUUUUCUAAUUUGUGCAUCCAAGACCUUAUCAUAGUGGUCCAGUGAGAGGCAGGAGCGACCUACUUUGAACCCAUGCUGCCCUGGAUUGUUCAAUUCUAGGGAAUCCAGGUACAAGACACCCAGCCACUAGGUAGAGGAAGACUUGGGGACUGAUUGAUAGGUCCAAUUUCCUCACCUUGUUCAUCAUAAAGAUUGCAGUCCACAAUAUUGUACAAGGAGUUGGCACAACAUUUUAGAUGAGAGAAGUAGUGGAACUGGUAUGGUGAUACUGACAAGUUGUAGGUAAAAAGAUAUGUGCACUGAUUAAUACAUUUACUAAUAAGGAAACUUUUUUUGCCACAAGUGACUAGUCCUAAUACAGAGUAGCUUGAAUAAGCAAGAGGUCAGAUGUAAGUCAAAAUUGGGGGUAACAAAUUCACAACUACCUGGGAUGGGACAGUAGGUAGCCCUGCAGUGCUCCCUGGUGUAUCCUCUAAGGGUGGUGAUUUCACUGUUAGGAAGCAGUCAUUUGGCCAGGCUUCUGGAUAUACUGUCUAAUGUUUGUGGUGUGGUGUUUGCG